UACGUAGGGGGCAAGCGUUGUCCGGAUUUAUUGGGCGUAAAGAGCUCGUAGGCGGUUGGGCAAGUCACGUGUGAAAUCUCCACGCUCAACGUGGAGGCGCCACGUGAGACUGCCCUGACUCGAGUCCGGUAGGGGAGAAUGGAAUUCCCGGUGUAGCGGUGAAAUGCGUAGAGAUGUGGAGGAACACCGAUGGCGAAGGCAGCCCCCUGGGUCAAGAUUGACGCUCAUGCACGAAAGCGUGGGGAGCAAACAGG
rnacentral:rRNA from 1 species